AAUAACAACAAAACCCCCAGAACACACCACUGAUCUAGCUCCCCUCUCAAACCGACCAGACUAACUUGGGUAUGCUAAAACUUGCCCUGUCCAAUAACAGUGCAGAUCAUAGACCAGUUUCUAAACAAUUCUGUGCCAGCCAAAACAGCAGGAGUAGGUUGGUGCAAGCUUUUGGAAUCAGCUAUUAAAAUAUUGACAUUGUCUUCAGAAGUUUCUGGAUGUCUGCCCUAUGAAAAUAUUAACCUGUUUGAUGGAGGCUGCUUACAAUAACUGUUAAAUAAGCUCUAGUGGUGUUGUAUUAAUUUGAAGAAUAAGGACUUUGUUGUGAACCUAAUCUUCUUGUGAGAUCUCAUGUUGUGGAGGGAAAACUGACCAGUUGUUUUUCAUUCUCUAAACAGUGGUAGUACUCUGUUGGAAUGUGCCUCUGUCAUUCACUACAAAGCAUGCUAAUAAUAACUUUUGCAAACAACGUAGAAAAUAAACUACUUCUGAUGGGUGAAACCACUUUGAUGUGAAUGCAAAGCCAUUAAGGAAUGUGCAGUUAAAUUUCAUGGAUUAAGCUUUAUCAGGUGUUAUACAAACCUAGAUUAAAAAAAAAAUCAGAUUUGUUAGCUUUUCUUCAAGGAAGAAAAGUGUUUGUGUGGCCAGCGUCUGUAACUCUGCAACAAUUUACUGGCAUCUUGUGUACUUGGAAAAGCUAGCAUGAAAUAUCCAUGAGUGUGAGCAUUUCUAUGUUAGGAUGAAAUAGGUCAUAGUCUGUAUAUCCCUGUUUCUGAAUGUUAACUGUAAAGGCAGUUUUUAAUAAGAUUAGAUGCAAAUACCUGAAGUUCAGUGAGUCAAUAUACAGAGAUUUAGUUCAAGACAUUUCUGGUUCUGAACAGAAUGAGUGACAUUACACAGUCCUUCAUACAACCUAGUUUGUAAUAGCUGGUAUUCUUCAUACUACAUACUUGUUUCUUGUACAGCAGACAAGACACUCUUAGAUUUUGAGGAAAGCUGAAAUGUUUUAAGCUGUACCUGUUAAAUUUCUUUAAAACAAGGCUUGAUUCUGUGAAAUUCUUCAGACUUCUAUAUAACUUAUUUGAUUUUAUUUUGUGUGCAUCUGAAAUACUAGAAAUUUUGGUAACCUUCAUAUCUAGGACUAAUUUAAUAGCAUCUGUGUAAAUGCUGCUGCAUAAAUCAGUAUUUGCCUCUAAUUCUGAAAGGUGAUGAAGGGUCCAAGUCUUAACAUAUUGCUGAAAGGACCCAUCUCUUCUGUCCUCCCAUCGCUAACAUUCUGCUGCCUCCCUUAUGCUAGCACAAGCACUUUAUGGUUAGCUUACCAUGUUCUACCUUACUAAGUUAUUCGUGCUGAUGGAUAUAACUAGCAGGAGUGGUGUGUAUUUAAACAGGCAUAGAAAUUAUUUUAAAUAAGUCUGCUAAGUCAGUUUGGGAGUUAGAAUGUUACAACUGUGGCUAUUUACAGCUAAAAGUGGUUGUUCAUGAUCAUGCACUCAGAUUUUCCCAAUGGGUUCUCUUUGAGCAAUUUGCAGAAAGAACACACCUGGUUUUUCUUCCCUCUUAGGGUGCUUCAUACGAUGGUGUCUUUCCUAAGCUAACAGUUCUUUCAUCUCUGCAGAUAAGUAAUAUUUGUUGUCUCGUAUAGACUGAAAGUUGAAGCACCGAGGUUAAAGUAUAACCAUCCACUUACCUUGAAUGCACAUUUAAAUUACAUGGGGUCUUACCAGUUAAUACAAGAAAGUAGUUAAAGAACAGUAAAAAUUCUGAUGUGUGUGCUGUGUUGUGAGCCACAUUUUUAGGUCAGCAGAGUUCACAAACACGAACUCUGCCUGGCGUCCCUGUGCAAUAUAAGAGCCCAUGUCUCAGACUUGCAAUACAGACAAGAGAGUGCUUCAAAUCACCUUUGCAGUUACUUCUUCACACUGUUUUUAAUCUUACAUUGCAAUACAAUUCACUUCUGUGUGGAUGGUAGAUUAAAAAGAAAAGUUUGCUUCUGGUGCUCACAACCUGAUGAAAAUUUAGACACAUUUAAAUACUGCUGAUGGAGACCCUAAGACCAAAGCUGGCUUUCUGUUGGUCUUCUUGAUCUCUUAAUUCUGUUCAGAUGAAAGGUGACUGUUUUUAACUCAAAUAAAACAACAUGAAGUCGUUAAGCCAGUAAUGCAAAAUCAUGUAACACCUAUGUGGCAGACAGACACUGCUUCUCCCAGUGCCAGGCGUACAGUUCCUAACUAAAUUAAUUCUAUCAGUAUUAUCAGCAUAAUUCACUCCUCCCUCUGACAAAAAAAAAAACCACUUGCACAGGAUUAGCUGUUCCACAUCACUUCAGAAACCGUGGAAAACUGAUUCAGGCAGUCAUUUUGCAUGUAAUGUAGUGUGGGUUAUAAAGCAGUGAUGGCUUUGUUGUUGUUUCCUGCCAUUAGGGCUUCAUUAUAUGUUUCUAACUGACUCAAGGAAUGCCAAAUUCUACUUAACCAAAUUACCAGAAAAGCAUCUGGCAAAACAAAAGGGAAAAAUAAAUCAUCUGGUUUUUA